UACGUAGGGGGCGAGCGUUGUCCGGAUUCAUUGGGCGUAAAGAGCUCGUAGGCGGCUUGCUAAGUCAGGUGUGAAAUCUCCAGGCUCGACCUGGAGUCGCCACCUGAUACUGGUAUGGCUUGAGUCCGGUAGGGGAUCACGGAAUUCCUGGUGUAGCGGUGAAAUGCGCAGAUAUCAGGAGGAACACCGGUGGCGAAGGCGGUGAUCUGGGCCGGCACUGACGCUUAGGAGCGAAAGCGUGGGGAGCAAACAGG
rnacentral:rRNA from 1 species